UGGGGAAUUUUGGACAAUGGGGGAAACCCUGAUCCAGCCAUCCCGCGUGUGCGAUGAAGGCCUUCGGGUUGUAAAGCACUUUUGGCAGGAAAGAAACGUCGCGGGUUAAUACCCCGCGAAACUGACGGUACCUGCAGAAUAAGCACCGGCUAACUACGUGCCAGCAGCCGCGGUAAUACGUAGGGUGCAAGCGUUAAUCGGAAUUACUGGGCGUAAAGCGUGCGCAGGCGGUUCGGAAAGAAAGAUGUGAAAUCCCAGAGCUUAACUUUGGAACUGCAUUUUUAACUACCGGGCUAGAGUGUGUCAGAGGGAGGUGGAAUUCCGCGUGUAGCAGUGAAAUGCGUAGAUAUGCGGAGGAACACCGAUGGCGAAGGCAGCCUCCUGGGGAUAACACUGACGCUCAUGCACGAAAGCGUGGGGAGCAAACAGGAUUAGAUACCCUGGUAGU
rnacentral:rRNA from 1 species